GAAUCUGUGUAGGAUAGGUGGGAGACUGUGAAACCGGGCCGCUAGGUUCGGUGGAGUCAAUGGUGAAAUACCACCCUGAUUUGUUCGGAUGUCUAACCUGCGCCCGUUAUCCGGGCGGGGAACAGUGUUAGGUGGGUAGUUUGACUGGGGCGGUCUCCUCCCAAAGAGUAACGGAGGAGUGCGAAGGUAACCUCAGCGCGGUCGGAAAUCGCGCAGUGAGUGCAUAGGCAUAAGGUUGCUUGACUGCAAGACAAACAAGUCGAGCAGGUACGAAAGUAGGUCAUAGUGAUCCGGUGGUUCUGUAUGGAAGGGCCAUCGCUCAACGGAUAAAAGCUACCCUGGGGAUAACAGGCUUAUC
rnacentral:rRNA from 1 species